GGGAGGGAGGGAGAGAGGGGGAAGGGAGGAGAGAUUUAGAGAUUAGACAAAAAUUAAGACAGGACAAAGGGGAGGGAGAGAGAGGGAGGGAGGGGGAAGGGAGGGGAAGAGGGAGGAGAGGGAGAGAGGGGGAAGGGAGGAGAGAGAGAGGGAGGGGGGGAAGGGAGGGAGGAGAGAGGGAGGGAGGGAGAGAGACUUCACUGUUCAUUUUUUACCCUCUUUUAGUCCGCCUGUCAGUGGGAAGUCAGUCAGCCUAGAAGGGGCUAGGAAGCUACUCAAUUCACCUCAACUGCCUGAACAACAGAUAAGAGGUGUGUUUGUGUGUGUGUGUUUUUAAAGAGAAUAUUCUGGUCUCCUGAUCCCCUGCUGUCUGUCCUCAUUUCCUCUCACACACACACACACACACACACACCCCACAACCCAUCCCUGCAUUUACAGAGCCGAGUAUGAAGUGUAAAAUGGAAAGUAGGAGUGUGUGUGUCUCUGCGUGUGUGUGUUCCAAGGCUCUGAGAGUUCCAAGGCUCUGAGAGUUCCAAGGCUCUGAGAGUUCCAAGGCUCUGAGAGUUCCAAGGCUCUGAGAGUUCCAAGGCUCUGAGAGUUCCAAGGCUCUGAGUGUUCCAAGGCUCUGAGAGUUCCAAGGCUCUGAGAGUUCCAAGGCUCUGAGAGUUCCAAGGCUCUGUGUGUUCCAAGGCUCUGAGAGUUCCAAGGCUCUGAGAGUUCCAAGGCUCUGUGUGUUCCAAGGCUCUGAGAGUUCCAAGGCUCUCAGAGUGUCUCUGCUGUACACAUAGUAAACUCAGACAGAGAGAGAGCCAGGCUUCAUGUCUACACAGAUACAUCUAGGAGCCAACAGAAGCCUCUGAACACACACAGAUACAUCUAGGAGCCAACAUAAGCCUCUGAACACACACAGAUACAUCUAGGAGCCAACAGAAGCCUCUGAACACACACAGAUACAUCUAGGAGCCAACAGAAGCCUCUGAACACACA
ensembl:lncRNA